GCAUGGGUGGUUCAGUGCUAGAAUUCUCACCUGCCAUGCGGGAGGCCCGGGUUCAAUUCCCGGUCAAUGCA